rnacentral:lncRNA from 1 species
UAAUUAAUUUGGUAACAUUUAAUUGUCUUUCAGCCCUCCCUAGAACUCCAGCUCCCAGCAGGUCAGAAUCACAGCCUCAGCCUCCACCACCUGAGCAGAGCUGAGUGCAGCCUCUUGAUGGGAAGUGAUGGGGCUGAGAGCUCAGAGAUGGCUUUAAAAACUGAAGAUUGAGAAAAGCUACUGAAUACAGGAGGCAAGUUACAAAUACAGAAUGCUCCUGCCCAGUGGUGAAGCCACAAAUCAGGUAGGAGUUUAGGUCUCAGACGUGCUUGGUUUUUAGCUGAUACGAAGAAGAAAUCCGCAGUGAUGCACUGCCCUCCUGCAUGGCUGCUGCAAUGGGACUAUAGGACCUGCAGGCUUCCAGGUGGAAAGGAGUUUUGCAGCAGGCAGAGCGGGCUCAGUGACAAGCCAUGGUAAGCUACACCCAGAGCCACUGCAGCCCUUCGCAUCAGACUCUGAGAGUUUUGCUAGUACUUGGGUCUGGGUGAGACUAGCAAUGGAAGCUCCAAAAUAAUGGAAGAAAGAGAUUUUCCAACAAGGAAGUCAACAAGGAAAUACAAAGUUUUGCCUGGAAAAGAUUCCCUCUGCAAAGUGUCUGAUCCUGGACAGCGAUAAGCAGUUUCCAUAAUGUGCUAUUUAAUCUCUGCUGCCUGAGGAGUAGAACCUCGUUACGCUUCUGCAGUAAGGACAUGCUGGUAAGCAUGUGUUACAGAAGGUCUUCUGUUCUCAAGUAGUCCUCACUCACGUCAUAGUUUGUUUGAAGUCAGAAGUGAUAAUUUACGUAUUAUCAAACAAUUAUUUUUUUGACCAAAUGUGAUAAGGCCAAAUCUUGCAGUUAGCCAGCACCUUCUGUUAUGACACCCUCUACAAGGAUUGUGCCUGCAAGAUAAAUGCACUUCAUUUUUUCACUAGUGCUAGCAAUUUACUUUGGAUAAAAAGGGGCGUGGAGCUGAUGCACCAGCUAAGGCACAACCAUUACGGGUAGCCA